UACGAAGGGUGCAAGCGUUACUCGGAAUUACUGGGCGUAAAGCGUGCGUAGGUGGUGAGUUAAGUCUGUCGUGAAAGCCCCGGGCUCAACCUGGGAACCGCGCUUGAGACUGGCAUGCUCGAGUUCGGGAGAGGAUGGUGGAAUUCCCAGUGUAGAGGUGAAAUUCGUAGAUAUUGGGAAGAACACCGAUGGCGAAGGCAGCCAUCUGGACCGACACUGACGCUGAGGCGCGAAAGCGUGGGGAGCAAACAGG
rnacentral:rRNA from 1 species